UAAACUGAAAAAUUUUCAAGGUUGAGAGC
rnacentral:piRNA from 1 species